rnacentral:rRNA from 1 species
UACGUAGGGUGCAGGCGUUGUCCGGAAUUAUUGGGCGUAAAGAGCGUGUAGGCGGCCCGGUUAGUCCGCUGUGAAAGUCCAGGGCUCAACCCUGGAAUGCCGGUGGAUACUGUCGGGCUAGAGUCCGGAAGGGGCGAGUGGAAUUCUCGGUGUAGCAGUGAAAUGCGUAGAUAUCGAGAGGAACACCAGUGGCGAAGGCGAGUCCCUGGACAGAUCCUGACGCUGAGGCACGAAAGCUAGGGGAGCAAACAGG